rnacentral:rRNA from 1 species
UACAGAGGUCCCGAGCGUUGUUCGGAUUCACUGGGCGUAAAGGGUGCGUAGGUGGCAUGGUAAGUUUGAUGUGAAAGCUCAGGGCUUAACCCUGAAAUGGCAUUGAAUACUACUGUGCUGGAGGUUUGGAGGGGGGACUGGAAUUCUUGGUGUAGCAGUGAAAUGCGUAGAUAUCAAGAGGAACACCAGUGGCGAAGGCGAGUCCCUGGACAGCAACUGACGCUGAGGCACGAAGGCCAGGGGAGCAAACGGG